rnacentral:lncRNA from 1 species
AGUGAUAAUAGUACAAAUGAUCCUUAGACUUGAGAUCAUCAUAGAAUCUUAUAUAUAAUGAAUUACACUUUGACUUAUUCCUUAAGACUCUUAGAGUAUAUCAAAGGGUAUGCUUGGGUGUAAUAAGUUAUAUAUGAAGAUAAUGAAUGAUCAAUAAAGAAUCUACCACUUCUAGUAAAAGAAGAGAAAUGUCCAAUGUGAUUCGAUAAAUAACAACCCAGGAAUCCUUGGCCAAGGUGGAAUGAAAUUAGAAAGUAGUUUCUAAUUUGCAUUCAUUAGGAGUUG